rnacentral:rRNA from 1 species
GAUGAACGCUGGCGGCGUGCCUAAUACAUGCAAGUCGAGCGAACAGACGAGGAGUUUGCUCCUCUGACGUUAGCGGCGGACGGGUGAGUAACACGUGGAAAACCUACCUAUAAGACUGGGAUAACUUCGGGAAACCGGAGCUAAUACCGGAUAAUAUUUUGAACCGCAUGGUUCAAUAGAGAAAGACGGUUUUGCGGUCACUUAUACAUGGAUCCGCGCCGCAUUAGCUAGUUGGUAAGGUAACGGCUUACCAAGGCAACGAUGCGUAGCCGACCUGAGAGGGUGAUCGGCCACACUGGAACUGAGACACGGUCCAGACUCCUACGGGAGGCAGCAGUAGGGAAUCUUCCGCAAUGGGCGAAAGCUUGACGGAGCAACGCCGCGUGAGUGAUGAAGGUCUUCGGAUCGUAAAACUCUGUUAUUAGGGAAGAACAAAUGUGUAAGUAACUAUGCACGUCUUGACGGUACCUAAUCAGAAAGCCACGGCUAACUACGUG